AGGACUUCACAACAUGCGAAUACCACCACUUCUAUGGAUAUUCGUUGUUGAUGAAGUCUUAA
rnacentral:pre_miRNA from 1 species